UACAGAGGUCUCAAGCGUUGUUCGGAUUCAUUGGGCGUAAAGGGUGCGUAGGUGGCGCCGUAAGUCGGGUGUGAAAUUUCGGAGCUUAACUCCGAAACUGCAUUCGAUACUGCGGUGCUUGAGGACUGGAGAGGAGACUGGAAUUCAUGGUGUAGCAGUGAAAUGCGUAGAGAUCGGAAAGAACACCAACGGCGAAAGCACUCUGCUGGGCCGACACUGACACUGAGAGACGAAAGCUAGGGGAGCGAAUGGG
rnacentral:rRNA from 1 species